rnacentral:rRNA from 1 species
AGAGUUUGAUCCUGGCUCAGAGUGAACGCUGGCGGCGUGCCUAAUACAUGCAAGUCGAACGAUGAAAUUUCUAGCUUGCUAGAAGUGGAUUAGUGGCGCACGGGUGAGUAACGCAUAGGUUAUGUGCCUCUUAGUUUGGGAUAGCCAUUGGAAACGAUGAUUAAUACCAGAUACUCCCUACGGGGGAAAGAUUUAUCGCUAAGAGAUCAGCCUAUGUCCUAUCAGCUUGUUGGUAAGGUAAUGGCUUACCAAGGCUAUGACGGGUAUCCGGCCUGAGAGGGUGAACGGACACACUGGAACUGAGACACGGUCCAGACUCCUACGGGAGGCAGCAGUAGGGAAUAUUGCUCAAUGGGGGAAACCCUGAAGCAGCAACGCCGCGUGGAGGAUGAAGGUUUUAGGAUUGUAAACUCCUUUUGUUAGAGAAGAUAAUGACGGUAUCUAACGAAUAAGCACCGGCUAACUCCGUGCCAGCAGCCGCGGUAAUACGGAGGGUGCAAGCGUUACUCGGAAUCACUGGGCGUAAAGAGCGCGUAGGCGGGAUAGUCAGUCAGGUGUGAAAUCCUAUGGCUUAACCAUAGAACUGCAUUUGAAACUACUAUUCUAGAGUGUGGGAGAGGUAGGUGGAAUUCUUGGUGUAGGGGUAAAAUCCGUAGAGAUCAAGAGGAAUACUCAUUGCGAAGGCGACCUGCUGGAACAUUACUGACGCUGAUUGCGCGAAAGCGUGGGGAGCAAACAGGAUUAGAUACCCUGGUAGUCCACGCCCUAAACGAUGGAUGCUAGUUGUUGGAGGGCUUAGUCUCUCCAGUAAUGCAGCUAACGCAUUAAGCAUCCCGCCUGGGGAGUACGGUCGCAAGAUUAAAACUCAAAGGAAUAGACGGGGACCCGCACAAGCGGUGGAGCAUGUGGUUUAAUUCGAAGAUACACGAAGAACCUUACCUAGGCUUGACAUUGAGAGAAUCCGCUAGAAAUAGUGGAGUGUCUAGCUUGCUAGACCUUGAAAACAGGUGCUGCACGGCUGUCGUCAGCUCGUGUCGUGAGAUGUUGGGUUAAGUCCCGCAACGAGCGCAACCCCCUUUCUUAGUUGCUAACAGGUCAUGCUGAGAAUUCUAAGGAUACUGCCUCCGUAAGGAGGAGGAAGGUGGGGACGACGUCAAGUCAUCAUGGCCCUUACGCCUAGGGCUACACACGUGCUACAAUGGGGUGUACAAAGAGAAGCAAUACUGCGAAGUGGAGCCAAUCUUCAAAACACCUCUCAGUUCGGAUUGUAGGCUGCAACUCGCCUGCAUGAAGCUGGAAUCGCUAGUAAUCGCAAAUCAGCCAUGUUGCGGUGAAUACGUUCCCGGGUCUUGUACUCACCGCCCGUCACACCAUGGGAGUUGUGUUUGCCUUAAGUCAGGAUGCUAAACCAGCUACUGCCCACGGCACACACAGCGACUGGGGUGAAGUCGUAACAAGGUAACCGUAGGUGAACCUGCGGUUG